UACGCUGCACGCAGCAAUGGUGCUUUGUGGCUGCGUGCGCGGCCAGAAGGCUAAGAGGGAAAUCGGUCCAAGCCGAUGCUGCCCCCGCAACUGUAAGCUGAGAGGGCUUGCGGCGUUCAUGCCACUUUCUGUGCCAGCCACAGGGGGGAAGGCAGCCGCAGGACCCGAAGACCAGCAAGCCAGGAGACCUGCCAUUGCGCCAAAGUCACG
rnacentral:ncRNA from 1 species